UGUAUUUUAGUAGAGACGGGGUUUCGCCAUGUUGGCCAUGCUGUUCAGGCAUUUUUAUACAAGGCAAUUCCUGUCAGCUCACAACAGUACUAGGAGAAAAGUGGAGCUGUAUCCUUUUUGCAGCCAGCUCACGGUUUUAUCUUCAUCAGCCUGGUCAAAGCUGGAUUUCCAUCACACAUGUGCUCACUCCACGGAACGUGCAAAAGGUCAAGACAUACAAACUCAGAGUUUUUAAAAUCAAGAAUUGAAAGUGGUCCACUAGCUUCUGUUCAUAGGACAUUGAGCCCCAGAUUUGGCACAUGACCUCUUAAGGCUCUAAUAUCUUGUCUUCUGGCUAUGAGAACAGAGCAUAUGGUUUGCUUGAAGAUUCUUGUUCAACACUUAUCCAUUAAUCUGACAGCAGGAAGUGCUAAAGAGCAGAAACAGGAGUCGGUCAGACUCUCACCUCAAGUCCAAGGCAAAUAUGCUUGCCCCUAAAAGACAUACUUGAUCUUCAAGUUCAGGAAAACCAGAUACAAAGGUAACUGCUAACAUUUCUCCCUUAUGAUUUCGGGACAUUCUUUCAGUAAGCUAUUUCAUCAGUAAUUAUAUUAUUCAUAUAUGAUUUUUUCCCUUAUAGAACAACACACACA
rnacentral:lncRNA from 1 species